UUAGGUCUACCAGGCGUUGGUUGUCCUGGGGAAAGGAGGUAGGCGGUGAUCUUAGGCAAAUCCGGGAUCACUUACGCCGAGCACCGAGACGAGUCCUAUGAGGACGAAGUGACUGACACCACGCUUCCAGGAAAAGCCACUAAGCUUCAGCUUAAGAAAAACCGUACCGCAAACCGACACAGGUAGGCAGGGUGAGAAUCCCAAGGCGCUUGAGAGAACUCGGGUGAAGGAACUAGGCAAAAUGGCACCGUAACUUCGGGAGAAGGUGCGCCCUUUGGUGUGGUCACGUGCGUGACUGAGCAUCGAAGGGUCGCAGUAACCUGGCCGCUGCGACUGUUUAUCAAAAACACAGCACUCUGCAAACACGAAAGUGGACGUAUAGGGUGUGACGCCUGCCCGGUGCUGGAAGGUUAAUUGAUGGGGUCAGCCGCAAGGCGAAGCUCUUGAUCGAAGCCCCAGUAAACGGCGGCCGUAACGAUAACGGUCCUAAGGUAGCGAAAUUCCUUGUCGGGUAAGUUCCGACCUGCACGAAUGGCGUAACGACAGCGGCGCUGUCUCCACCCGAGACUCAGUGAAAUUGAAAUCGCUGUGAAGAUGCAGCGUUCCCGCGGCAAGACGGAAAGACCCCGUGAACCUUUACUAUAGCUUUACACUGAACGUUGAGUUCUUCUGUGUAGGAUAGGUGGGAGGCUAUGAAACCAGGACGCUAGUUCUGGUGGAGCCAUCCUUGAAAUACCACCCUGAAGUGCUUGACGUUCUAACCUAGGCCCGUAAUCCGGGUCAGGGACCGUGUAUGGUGGGUAGUUUGACUGGGGCGGUCUCCUCCCAAAGAGUAACGGAGGAGCACGAAGGUACGCUCAGCGCGGUCGGACAUCGCGCACUGUGUGCAAAGGCAUAAGCGUGCUUGACUGCGAGAUCGACGGAUCAAGCAGGUACGAAAGUAGGUCUUAGUGAUCCGGUGGUUCUGUAUGGAAGGGCCAUCGCUCAACGGAUAAAAGGUACUCCGGGGAUAACAGGCUGAUACCGCCCAAGAGUUCAUAUCGACGGCGGUGUUUGGCACCUCGAUGUCGGCUCAUCACAUCCUGGGGCUGUAGCCGGUCCCAAGGGUAUGGCUGUUCGCCAUUUAAAGUGGUACGCGAGCUGGGUUCAGAACGUCGUGAGACAGUUCGGUCCCUAUCUGUCGUGGGCGUUGGAGAUUUGAGGGGGGCUGCUCCUAGUACGAGAGGACCGGAGUGGACGUUCCGCUGGUGUUCGGGUUGUCAUGCCCAUGGCAUUGCCCGGUAGCUACGAACGGAAGUGAUAACCGCUGAAAGCAUCUAAGCGGGAAGCACGCCCCAAGAUGAGAUCUCCCGAGAGCUUGACUCUCCUAAAGGCACCAUCAAGACUAGGUGGUUGAUAGGUCAGGUGUGGAAGCGCAGCAAUGCGUUGAGCUAACUGAUACUAAUGAGCCGUGAGGCUUGACCG
rnacentral:rRNA from 1 species